GAAAAAGUAUGCAAGAACUGCUAAUUCAUGCCUCCAUGCUUAACAACAUGGCUUUUUCA
rnacentral:tRNA from 1 species